UUGUAGCAGUUGUUUCACAUUUAAUUAUUUCUCAAGUCGCAGUCCAGCUGAAGGGUAGUGGUAAAGUAGUGAUCGCUGCCUUUGUCUUGAGUGAUUCAUGUCAUUUUAUACUCUCCUCUGCACUUGAGCUGAACCAGUGGGGACCUCUUUUAUGCUGUUUUCUUCUGGCCUGAUUUACUUUCUCCUCCAGUGACAAAUUUGCCGGACCUGGAAGCACAUAGAAAAUGGUACCUUGUGCAAAGAUGUCAAACACAUUGCUGUUUGUCUUGCUCUUCUUAUUUCCGAUGCUGCUGUCAGGAGCUUGGUUUCCCAAAAGUUUACCCUGUGAUGUUAAAGCCUCUGAAGGUACUGUGACAGUGGAUUGCACUGAUCGGCGUCUUCUGGAAGUCCCCAGAGGGAUCCCUGCAAAUGCUACUAACCUUACCCUCAGUAUUAACCAUAUCAACCAUAUCUAUCCAACAUCCUUUGCUGAGCUUGCAAAUCUUGUGGAGAUUGACUUCAGAUGCAACUGUGUGCCUGUGAGAAUGGGGCCCAAAGAUCACGUGUGCGUGAUGAGUCCGAAGAUUGAGAAUGGCAGUUUUGCUGCCCUGACAAGACUGAAGUCACUGUAUUUGGAUGCAAACCAGCUAUUUGAAAUACCCCAGGGUCUUCCUGCUACUUUAAGUCUGCUGAGCCUGGAAGCGAACAGUAUCUUUUCUAUCCAAAAAGCCAAUAUGUCGGAGCUAGGAAACAUAGAAGUAUUGUAUCUGGGACAGAACUGUUACUACCGUAACCCAUGCAAUGUUUCAUUUGAAAUCGAUGAAACAGCCUUUCUGGAGCUGAAAAAAUUAACAAUACUAUCCCUGAAGUCUAACAACUUAACUCGUAUUCCACCCAAUUUGUCAUCUACUUUAAAGGAAUUGUAUAUUUACAAUAACAUGAUUCAAGUGGUUCAAGAGCAUGAUUUAAGUGCCCUUUACAACCUAGAAAUUCUUGAUCUAAGUGGUAAUUGCCCACGUUGCUAUAAUGCCCCAUAUCCUUGCAUUCCCUGCCCCAAGAGCACAAUUGAGAUCCAUUCAAAGGCUUUUUAUUCCUUGAAAAAUUUAAGAAUUUUGCGACUUCACAGUAACUCUCUUCUCAGCGUACCCAGCAGCUGGUUUAAAAACAUCAGGAAUCUUAAAGAGCUUGACCUCUCCCAAAAUUUCCUCAUGAAGGAGAUUGGAGAUGCUCAGUUUUUGAAGUUUAUCCCCAGCCUUGUAGAGCUUGAUCUGUCCUUCAAUUUUGAACUGCAGAUGUAUUCUCCAUACUUAAAUUUGUCUAAGACAUUUUCAUCCCUUUCUAACCUGGAAACCCUGAGGAUCAGGGGUUAUGUCUUUAAAGAACUGAGAGAAAGUGAUCUACAUCCUUUGGUCAAUCUUAGAAAUCUAACAGUGUUGGAUCUUGGGACUAAUUUUAUUAAAGUUGCUGACUUGAGAGUGUUUGAAAAAUUUCGGGCUCUUAAAUUCAUAGACCUCUCAGUGAAUAAAAUUUCUCCUUCUUCAGGUGAGAGCAACUUUCAUGGAUUUUGCUCCAACCCUAGGAUUUCAGUAGAGCAAUACAACAGGCAAGUAUUACAAGAGAUGCAUUAUUUCAGGUAUGAUGAGUAUGGGCGAAGUUGCAGGUCCAAAGACAAAGAGGCUGCUUCCUACCAAUCUUCAGUUAAGGAAGAUUGCCUGAAAUACGGAGAAACUCUGGAUUUAAGCAGAAACAACAUAUUUUUUAUUAACCCCUCAGACUUCCAGGGGCUUAGUCGCCUCACAUGCCUCAACUUGUCAGAUAAUGCAAUAAGUCAAACUUUAAAUGGAAGUGAAUUCUCCUACUUGUCUGGAUUGAAAUAUCUGGAUUUUUCUAACAACAGGAUUGACUUGCUAUACUCAACUGCUUUCAAAGAGCUAAACCAGUUAGAAAUUCUAGACCUGAGCAAUAACAAACAUUAUUUUCUGGCAGAAGGAGUUACUCAUGUGCUUAGUUUUAUGAAAAACUUGACCUAUCUGAAGAAGCUGAUGAUGAAUGAGAAUGAGAUUUCUACCUCUACUAACACAGGAAUGGAAAGCCAGUCUCUUAAAAUUUUAGAAUUCAGAGGAAAUCACUUAGAUGUUUUAUGGAUGGAUGGGAAUGCUAGAUACUUGUCAUUCUUCAAGAAUCUGACCAUCCUGGAACAACUGGAUAUUUCCUUUAACUCGCUCAGUUUUUUGCCUCAUGAUGUUUUUGAAUCUAUGCCUCCAGAACUCAAGAUCCUCAACUUAACCAAUAACAAGAUGAAGAGUUUCAACUGGGGAAGACUCCACCACCUGAAGAACCUAGAAACUCUGGACCUUAGCAAUAACCUUCUGGCUACUGUUCCCCGAGAACUGUCCAACUGCUCUUCAACACUCCAAGACCUGAUGCUCCGAAACAAUCGCAUUCAAUCGCUAACCAAACAUUUUCUCAGGCGCGCUUUUAAAUUGAAAUACUUGGACCUCAGCUCAAACAAGAUCCAAAUAAUUAAGAAGUCUAGCUUCCCUGAAAAUGUAAUUAACAGCCUAAAGGUGCUGCUUUUGCAUGGCAAUCCUUUCAAGUGCAAUUGUGAUGCCGUGUGGUUUGUUUGGUGGAUCAAUCAGACUCAAGUGACUAUUCCUCUUCUGGCCACAGAUGUGACCUGUGCUGGCCCAGGGGCACAUAAAGGAAGGAGCGUGGUUUUCUUGGAUCUGUAUACUUGUGAGCUGGACAACUCGUAUUUGAUCCUGUAUGCUCUGUCAGCUUCAACUGUCCUAGGCUUUAUGGUGUUCACAGUGACAAGCCAUCUCUAUUUCUGGGAUGUGUGGUAUAGUUACCACUACUGCACAGCCAAGUUGAAGGGUUAUCGGCGUUUAUCUUUACCUGAUGCUUGCUAUGAUGCUUUUAUUGCCUAUGACAAGAAAGAUCCAGCUGUGAAUGAAUGGGUGAUGACAGAACUGGUUGAAAGGCUGGAAGAUCAAAAAGCCAGGCAGUUCAAUUUAUGCCUGGAAGAAAGGGACUGGCUCCCAGGACAGCCAGUCUUUGACAACCUUUCCCAGAGCAUUCAGCUGAGCAAAAAGACCAUAUUUGUGCUGACCAACAAGUAUAUUAAAAGCGGCAGCUUCAAGACAACUUUUUACAUGGCCCACCAGCGGCUUCUAGAUGAAAAAAUGGAUGUCAUUAUCUUGAUAUUUCUUGAGAAGGUUCUGCAGAAGUCCCGGUAUGUCCGGCUGAGGAAGAGGCUCUGCAGAAGUUCUGUCCUGGAAUGGCCAACUAACCCUCGAUCUCAGCCCUAUUUCUGGCAGUGCCUGAAAAAUGCAAUAUCUACGAGCAAUACCCUGGCUUACAACAAGCUUCUCCAAGAAACUGUUUAGCUCCACCCUUCCCUAGCACUGCUGCUGAGACACUCCUGUUGCCAUAAACCUUCCCUUCACACCCUGAGCAAUCACUGAAAAGCAAUUAUUUAGCCCAUUUUCAUCAAGCCGUAGCUCGUGUUCAAUCCUGUGUGAUGACAUCAGCAAUGCAGAAUAUUUUUUAAUAGUAUGAAAAUACUGUCCUGUACUCACAGAAAGCAGGAAAAAGAACAGUGUACCAUCCCACAAAGAACAGCGCUGUGCACUCUUCACCAUCCAUGGAGAUUUUGGAGUCGCCAACUGCUGCUUACAAACCACCCUGGGAGGUAUUUACACAGAACACCACUUCCUCCUGUAGCUAUGUCUGCAGCUGUCAGAUGGGAAGGAUGCUGCUGCUGGAAAUAAAAUGAAAAUGCUACCGCUUUGCUACUCUCCUAAAGUACAGUCAAAAUGCACUAAGUGAGUAAAAGCAAGGAGACCAGAACAUGACGCUGCUGAAAUUCUGACUCUUCGACAGCCUUAGAGAGGUCUCUAGCACAGAGAUGAUCUGUCCAGCUGAGGCGAUGAGCCUUGGUGCACAAGGUUUCUUUCAUUCAACAUCUGAGAUGCCGGAGAUGCAUUUGGGAGUGGGAAGAGAUUAUUUUGGAUCUCUCUUCUGCAUUUGGUGCUUAAAACACAGCUGCAGUUUAAGUGCCCAAGAACUAGUUCUUGGAUUUUGUUCAGUAUGCUGCUCCCUCUGAAAUGUAAACUUACACACCUCAGCACUUUUAAGGAUUUGGCCCAAAGUGUGUUCCUUUAAAUAGCCUCUAAGAUUCCUCUGCUUUAGGAGCAAGCCAGUAAAGUCAUGCACAUAUGCAACAGUCUUAUGUCUGUGAUUAUCUACCAAUAACCACAGUGACUUGCACUCUGUAAGCUUAUGCAGCCUUUUUAUGCUAUGGGCACCCAACACAGCAAAAAAAAAAACCACACUAAGGGGUAGGAGCAUGCAAUGAGUGACAAAAUUGUCUGCCUUUGCAAUGCCUUUAUGCUGAAUCUUCUGAGCAGUUUACCAGAAUAUUCACCUCUGACAGGACGUCUCCCAUUUUAGAGCCGCCAUGUCUUUUCUUGUGAAAUGUCAAUAAAGGAUAAUACCAGAGCCAGCGUGGCCACUGGGUCACCCUGGGCAGGUGGCACUAAACCACAGCCAGAUGCUGCUGACACUGCCUGGCCCAAGUGGGGAGCUGCGCCAGCUGCCUCUCUUAAGCCCCUGGAUUGCCUGCGGGCAGGCUGCCUUUUUCUCUGCCCCUCCUUUUGAAACACUGCCUGGGGAAGGACUCCACCAGCAGCAGCGGCUCAAGGGAUCUAUGUCCAUUUUCCAACAGCGUGCUCAGUGAUGCCAGGAAUUCAAGACAUUGCUGAGCCUGACAGCAACCACACCUACCAUGAAUUUUACUGCUGGGUAAGUAGCAUCAGCAUCAGCCCCAGGGAUAUAUUUAGAAAAGCCUUCACCUUAAUGAGCUAACAGUUGAGAACAACUUCUGCUGCUGAGUCCCAAGCAAGCCUAGGUUAAGAAGUCACCCAGGUAAUUUGGUGGAAGGGAAAAGAAUAAGAAUUGUUUGUGUGUGAUUUUUGAUGGCUUGACUAGGCAGCUUUGUACGUAGAUUGAAUGUUGAUCUUCUGGUUUUCUGAGAUUUAUACGUAUAUGUCACCUAUGUUGCACACUGUUCUGUAAACAAAAAAUUUAUACUAGUCUCUUUUGACGCAUUAAAUGCACCUUUUUGCUAGAUCUCAUAGGAUUUGGAGUGAGGACUAUAGUUGUCCACUAGUUCAUUCUUGCUGUGUAAAUAUCUAGAACAACAUUUUAAUUAAAGCUGUUGCUUAUUGCUCCUUUGGCUUCGUUUCUCUCUCUCCCCCCUCUGCCGUUCAUCUAUAUUCAUAUUAGUAUCAGUAUUUGAAAAAUUUCAGGAAUUUAGAAUUUUAUGUGCUCCCAUGCUUUUCCUAUGCUUCUAAAAAUCACCUAGAAGAAUUACUUUCUGUGUCUUUUCUGGUAAUUACCACUUUAAAAUUUGAUCUUUGGAAGCUGCUUUAGUAAAUACAUCUCUUAUUAAAACUAAACUACCUCCCUUUUCAGAGUAAAUUAAAAAAAAUACAGGUAACUGAAAAGUAUAUAAUGAUUCUAAAAACUUGUAAGCAUAUAAUUUUUUUACAUGAAGAUAUUUUAGCUGUGCUUACAAAGACUAAUAUUAUUUUAAAUUCUACUCAGUUCACCUAUCUGCUAAUGGAAAGAGCUGCAGUUUAUGUUCCAAAAAGCUCUAAACUCAGUUCAGUUCUCUGUAUCUUUAACAAGAUUAAAUUAUUUGAUUUUUGAUGGUUUUGCUGCAGAUGGGGUGUUAUCUAUUUCAGUUAAGACCAUCACUAAAACUUCUGACUUCAGUGUGGGCAAACACAAGGACUCAGAAUGUGUCCCAGUAUUUCAGAGGUUUCUAACCAUAGUGUGGACAACUAUCACAGAGCAAUUUCCCUCUUUCUCCUCUGAAUAGGUAAUGCGAUGUGGAAGUCCCUUGAUGCAUAUUGCUCCAGAGCGUUUUGCACAUUUUUAAACAGGCUUUGGAGGAGUCCUAACAAACUAUUUCUGGCUAAUGUCCAGUGCAGCUAACUGCUAUACCAUGUCCUUGAAAACAAAGGAAUACAGUAAAGCUGAAGGUAUUCCUCUGGAGAGGACACACACGUUACUCCUCUGCUUCAGGAAUUUAUGUCCAGCAGAUAGAUGUCAUUCCUCAGAUUAGACAUGCUACAUGUAGCCAAACAUUUUUAGGGCAGGAAGCCACAAAUAUGCCCAUGGUCUUGUCAAAGGCUCUACCUACAGCAGUGUACUUGUUUAGACAUGGAGUGAAUGCAAUUGGAAGCAACUCUCCCACUUGUUUGUCCUUGCUGUGCUUUGGUUCACCAUGUGGAACAGUCUUGAAACACAUCCUCUGGUUUCCUCCCAGCUGAAACAAAGCUGGAGGACAUUCUGCAGAAACACAGCUAACAGGUAUUCAGUCUAAGGACUAGACUACAGCAUCUCUCUAAAAUAAACCUCCCUAAAAUGCAUACAAUCUAGACAGUGGGUCCUCACCACCUACUGUUCUGCUCUCCAAAUUAUUCCUGCUGUGCCAGACUAUGUGCCGAUGUGACCAAUCAGUCUGUAUAAGCAAUGUUAAAUACUACCCAUGAAAACAGCCCAAGAUAAUAUUAAUUCCUUUAAUGCAAUCUUUUUAACCUUGGGAGGGAAAAACUUAUUGAACCUGUAAACAACUAGAAUCCAUGAUAUUAUAAAGUUGCUAACAGUUUUUCUUGUGACCUUUUUAUAAAUGCAUGCUUUCUGUAAUUAAAAAAUUAUCUAGAAUGUGAUUAUUAAAACUAUAGGACAGAAUUAUCAUAUUACUGCUGCUAUUAAUGGGCUAUUCAUCCAGCUGUUCUCUCUUGAGAAAACCUGUUCAGACUGUUUUUCCCUUGAAAUAAAAUGGCUGCAUCCAGUACUAUCUGUUUUGCUUGGACCAGAGAUCUCCUAUUACCCCAGAAAACUACCAUGUACUGGAGGAGCAGAAAUCAUCAGUUCCUUCACAGUCUUGAAGGUUGUAACA